UAAAAGACUGUGAAGAGAAGAGUAAGUAUAGGACGUAAUUUUAGCGAGUCGAUGACGGUGAAAGAUCGAUAUGAAGCCUAUGUGGAAGAACAUCUCUGAGUUUCUAACCGAAAGCUAAGGCCAGUAGAUUUAGACGGCACCACACCGUUAUUCAGUGGACAGUAUAAUUUUGUACUGAUAUGGAGCCGGUCAUUGAUAUGACAAUUAGGGUGGUACCGCGAAUAUAGCUUUCGUCCCUUUA
rnacentral:ncRNA from 1 species